GACGAACGCUGGCGGCGUGCUUAUCACAUGCAAGUCGAACGGAAAGGCCCUGCUUUUGUGGGGUGCUCUAGUGGCGAACGGGUGAGUAACACGUGAGUAACCUGCCCUUGACUUUGGGAUAACUUCAGGAAACUGGGGCUAAUACCGGAUAGGAGCUCCUGCUGCAUGGUGGGGGUUGGAACGUUUCGGCGGUUGGGGAUGGACUCGCGGCUUAUCAGCUUGUUGGUGGGGUAGUGGCUUACCAAGGCUUUGACGGGUAGCCGGCCUGAGAGGGUGACCGGCCACAUUGGGACUGAGAUACGGCCCAGACUCCUACGGGAGGCAGCAGUGGGGAAUAUUGCACAAUGGGCGGAAGCCUGAUGCAGCAACGCCGCGUGCGGGAUGACGGCCUUCGGGUUGUAAACCGCUUUCGCCUGUGACGAAGCGUGAGUGACGGUAAUGGGUAAAGAAGCACCGGCUAACUACGUG
rnacentral:rRNA from 1 species